rnacentral:rRNA from 1 species
CGGCUGGANCUUGCUCCGGCCGUGAGAGUGGCGAACGGGUGANUAAUGCGUGACCGACCUGCCCCAUACACCGGAAUANCUCCUGGAAACGGGUGGNAAUGCCGGAUGCUCCGACAUGACGCAUGUCGUGUCGGGAAAGAUUCAUCGGUAUGGGAUGGGGUCGCGUCCUAUCAGCUUGAUGGCGGGGUAACGGCCCNCCNUGGCUUCNACGGGUAGCCGGCCUGAGAGGGCGACCGGCCACAUUGGGACUGANAUACGGCCCANACUCCUACGGGAGGCAGCAGUGGGGAAUAUUGCACNNUGGGCGCAAGCCUGAUGCAGCGACGCCGCGUGCGGGAUGACGGCCUUCGGGUUGUAAACCGCUUUUGACUGGGAGCAAGCCCUUCGGGGUGAGUGUACCUUUCNAAUAANCACCGGCUAACUACGUGCCANCAGCCGCGGUAAUACGUAGGGUGCAAGCGUUAUCCGGAAUUAUUGGGCGUAAAGGGCUCGUANGCGGUUCGUCGCGUCCGGUGUGAAAGUCCAUCGCUUAACGGUGGAUCCGCGCCGGGUACGGGCGGGCUUGAGUGCGGUAGGGGAGACUGGAAUUCCCGGUGUAACGGUGGAAUGUGUANAUAUCGGGAANAACACNNNUGGCNAANGCAGGUCUCUGGGCCGUCACUGACNCUGANGAGCGAAAGCGUGNNGAGCGAACANGAUUANAUACNCUGGUANUCCACGCCGUANACGGUGGAUGCUGNAUGUGGGGACCAUUCCACGGUCUCCGUGUCNGANCCNACGCGUUAANCAUCCCGCCUGGGGAGUACGGCCGCAAGGCUAAACUCAAAGAAAUUGACGGGGGCCC